ACACCACACCACAACACAACUUGGAAACAAACUUGAUUCAUUCACAUCUUCUUCUGUUAUUAGGGUUUCAUAUUCCUCCUUAUCUGCCCCCUUUACACUCUUCAAUCUUCGUCCCAAUGAAACCAGGAUUCAUCUGAUUCCUCUUCAACCACACUCCUUCUUCCUCUUCACCAAUCCCUUUUCCCUAAUUNNNNNNNNNNNNNNNNNNNNNNNNNNNNNNNNNNNNNNNNNNNNNNNNNNNNNNNNNNNNNNNNNNNNNNUAUAUAUAUUGCUCGAGUAUAUAAGGAGACUUAUUCAUGUUUAUUAAGUCAUUUCUCCAAUAGUUUAUAUAUGUGUUUCACGAAAAUUAAAUCCUUCUGGGAUUUUCAUAUAAUCAUCAUUAUCAAGUGAGUCAUUCAAACACAUUGUAACACAUAUGUGCAACUAAACUUAAUCAAUAAAGAAGUUCUGAAUUCACUUCAAGUGAAUACGCCUCUUGAAAAAUUAAUGGUAGAUGUAUCAUUAUUUUCUUUUCGCGCGAAAACUAAUUUGUACUAAUUAUUUUCAUCUUCAGGUGUAUGGACUGCUGGUCCAACAACCUUUUGCUUUGCAAAGCUAGUUUAAUAGUUUCAAUCGCGUCUACCUAUCUAGUCAAUACUUUCAUUGUCUAUAAUCUUUGAUUCAUGAUCCUCAUUGUCAUUUGUCACAUAUAGCGCUUUAUUAUAUGCAAAAAAAUAUUGUCAACGUUGACUUCAUCUCGGUUCCAUCAUAUUUUAUCCAUGACAUAAUUUAUUGAGAUCUCUUUAUUUUCAUAUCUUUCAGGUACCUGAUAAGUUCUUCUGGNNNNNNNNNNNNNNNNNNNNNNNNNNACGCUUCAGGGUGGUUAAAUUUCAUUUGCUUGCCCAUCAAGGACAUCCAUUUUGAUUGGAGCAUUAGCAGCUGUUUAUUAAUUUCAUAGACUAUGCAAAUGAAUUAUCUUUAGAACUUCUGGUUCAUACUAAUUAGUAAGAGGAUCAAGACGAGAUAAAAAUAAUAAUAAUUUACUUCAAGUGAUUCAAUUGAACUUCUGGUUCACAAUUUCAGUUGCUUAUUCUCUCCCCCUAAUAUUGGGAAAACUAAUUCAUCAUUUGAGAACCAGCCUACAGAGCUGAAAAUAAGUCCAAUUUUUUUUUUUUGCUCAAGAUACUUUAUAAUAUAUGAAGAUUCAUAUCAAAUAUAUUUUCCCAAUAUUCUUUAAGAACCGUUUAAAUGCAUUAUAUUGGAGCAAUUUCACAUACACAACACAUCCAAAAAUGCUGAUAUGGGAAUCAUGUUUAUAAACCAAAGUUCAAAUUGUAAAUUAGGGGAGAACUUAUAAUAACUUGUUGGCUUGAUGCGAAUCAAUANNNNNNNNNNNNNNNNNNNNNNNNNNNNNNNNNUCUCAUAAGUAUCAGUCAUGUGAUUACUUUAGACGUCUAAAGAAUGGAUCUUCUAGUCCAUUUUUUUUUGUAUGAUCAUAUUCUAUUCGAUAUCGAUUUCAAUUGACAUACGAUAACUUAUCAAAUAUUUUCUAAGAAUUUAGAAAAUGAGAUCUUAGCAAAACUAUUUGAGAAAACAAACUCACAAACUUCUGGUUGUGAGUAAACAUGCAUGUGACCAAUUUAGUUGAUGCAUCAAUUCAAGUCACAAAAUAUCUAAAUGGUCAAAAAUCUCAAAUUAUCAAUUUCUUUUGGGAAUUAGUAACCGAUAAAAAUUAUUAGAAUGAAGAAACUUCGGGUCCUUCAAUAUAUAUUUAUAGUAUUUUUCGCAUCAUAAUAAAUUUGGGAUGACCCAACCGGUAUUGCCAACAAUAAAUUCAAUAUGAUUUGUAAACUUCUGGUUUACAAUAAUUUGUGCUUCAAUUGCAUUAUUAUAUAUAAAAGUGUAGUGUAAACUUCUGGUUUAUAACUUUUUCAUUACACUUAAUUUAUCCAAAAUAUGUGUAGUAAUAUAUAGAGAUAUCCAACAUCUCUUCAUUUCUUGUUUCCAUAUUGAUAUUCAUAUAUGAAUGACAAGAAGAUUAUACUUAUGCAAUCAAUUGUUCUGCAAAUCAACAUCUCUCUUAUUAUUGGACUGAAUUGUUACUAUUGUCAUUUAUGUCCGUUUAAAAACGUUUCAUCAUAUUAGCGAGUGAAUGCCCGUACCAAUCAUUUGUACAUUUAUAUAAAUGAGCUUCAAGCAAACUUCAUGUUGCCACUCGAAUUCUUCCUUGCAAAUGGAGACAAUAAACUUUGAUGACUUUACAAGUCAUCUCAAAUAGCCACAAAUCAACGACAAACCAAUAUAUAAUAAUAAAAAAAACUAUAAUAAUAAAUUAAUGUAAGGAUAAUUUAAUACUCAAUUGUCUUAAUAGUUUCUCAAAAUAAUAAUUUCAAUAACAGUUUGCAAGUGAGCAUUCAAAUAACAACAAGACAAUAUAAAAUUUAUAAAAUAUUUACAAAUAUUCAUAUAAAUAACAGUUGGUGUAAUAAUUAUCUUAAAAAAAACAUUUGGUGUAAUAAUUAACAAAAUUGAGCCUAAAAUAAAUUUCCAAAUAGAACACUUUAACAAAAUAAUUAACAUUAGUGUUACAACUUUUAAAGUAAAAGAGAGUUUCUCAUAUAAUAUUUUAGGCUCAAAUUGUGAGAUUAUAUAGUUUAAAAUUAUAUAUGAUUCUCAGUUCUCACAUUCAAUCAACACCAAAUAUUUAAAAAAAUUCACAAAAUAAAUUCAAAUCCCAUAAACCAAGGAUAUGAUAUUAAUAUCUAACAAAUAUUCUUGAAUUCUUGAAUUGAAUAUAUAAAAAAAAUAUUCUAUGUAUAAAUUAUAAUUAAAUUAAGGUAUAAAUUAUAAUUUUAUUUCCAAAAGAAAAAAAUAUCAAUUAAAUUGAUUUAUUAUGGAAGAAAAAUAUUUCCUUAAUAAGACACAAUUCAUACCUUGAGCAUUGUAGUAGCUGAAUUAAUUCAUAAUAACACAGAGGACAAAAUUAUCGUAUAAAAUAAAAUGAAUAAAGUAUUAAGUCAUGCACACCUUUUAAUUUAAUGUGAUGAUUUAAUGGGAAAAGUAUAUAUAAUAACACUUUGAUCAUUAAUAUUACAUAAAAUGUUGAUCAAUUAUUUAUUUGUAAUAUGUAUUUUGGAUGUUUGAUAUUGUUUGAGUUUUGUGACCGACAAUAGUCUGGUGAAGCAUCAUUAUGCUUCGUGACCGACACCUGUAUGGUGAAACAUCAACACUUCGAUCAUCCAAAAGAACAUAAACAUGUUUAAGAAUUCAUAAUCUUGGUUCCUGAAGAACCUAGAAAGUUAAUACAUAAAUUCCCGAAGAAUUCAUAAUCUUGGUUCCUAAAGAACCUAUUCUUAGUUCCUAAAGAACUUAGACAUUUAAUACAUGAAUUCCCGAAGAAUUCACAAUCUUAGUUCCCGAAGAACUUAAAAAAAUUAAUUUUGUUCCUGAAGAACUUACAAAAUAUCACCAUUUAUCACCAAUCACCAUGCAUCCCUAAUGGAUUGCACAUCAAAAUACUUUUAUGUGUUAUAUAGAUCCUGAAGAACUAAUAAAACAACUUCUUUUUUUUUCUCUUCAAUGAAUUCUAGAUGAAUUCAAUAUUCCUACAUCCUUGAAGGAUUGUAAAUUGAUAGUGAUUUAUUAUAUAGUUCCUGAAGAACUCAAUGGAUAAAAUUAUAAAAUUCAAUUGCUAAGUAAAUUUCACCGUUUGUAGCAUGAAUCGCACCGUUUGUUUUUACGGCCUGCAGUAAUAUAACCUUACCUUAAAAACAAAGGUCAAUGGCCGUAUUGAUUUUUCCUUUAAAAAUUCUAAAUUAUGACAAAUCUUCAUAUUUAAUAUUAUUUCCAAAUAUAACUAUCAAUGUUUUAUUUUAUUUAAAAAAAUAUAUAUAUAUAUAUAUAUUCCUUAUGGAUCGUUUUUUUAUUUUUGAUUUUGUUUCCAUAUACCAAUUGUCAUACUUUUAACAAAAGAGAUGUUGGAUAUCACGAAGCGUAAACAACAUUGAAUCAAUUAAAUACAUAAAGAAAGAUGCUUAUUUAUUUAUUUAAUUUUAAAUUUUAAUUAUUAUUAUUUGAUCUUUAUAAGUAUACAAGGUUCAAACGAUUCAUAAUCAUAUAAUAAUCAAAAAUAAAAACUACUUGUGAUUUCAUAAAAAUAGAAUAAGAAUUGCGUACCUCGGUUGGUAAGCUCGUGCUGAUAACGUGUUAUGAAAUAUAAGUAAUAGUAAUAAUAUAUAAGUAUAGAGGAGAGAAGAAGAGAAGAGAGAAAUAAUAGAGAUUGUAUUAUUCUCAUCAAGGUGUAUGUUUACAUGAUAAUACAAGUCAUAUUUAUAGGACAAUAUAAUGGGUCAGUGGAAUGGGCCAAUGCUUAAUGGACAUCCACCAAAUUAUUCAUAACAGUUUUCAACAUUAAUUUACUCUUUAAUUUCUUUUUUUGGUAUGCUUAACAAGUGCUCUAGGGGCACCCAUAAAGAAAUUAUGUCUUAGAAUUUGUGUAUUCAAUAUCUUAAAAGUGUAAAAAGUUAUCUCUAUAACAUUAAUUUUAUCUUUUAUUUCUUUUUUGGCAUAGUUAAUAAGUGCCCCGGGAUACUGUUUAGCAUAACCUUACAAAUAAUCUCAUUUCCAAAACGAUGAUGCGUUAUGACCCCUUCCUUAAUUAACUUAACAGAGAGUAAUAAAUAAGAACAACACACAAUUUGUUUUUAAAAGCUAAUAACAAUACCGCAACUACGAUCGGAAGGGGACUGAAACCACUUAAUGACACAAAGCUGAAGCAGAUUAAACUGAUAAUGAAAACAAAAUCAAAAAAGCUAAUAACAAUAAAGACCAAACACUACCAUAGACAUUGUUCUUAGUGUAUUAGAUACAAGAAAAUAAUUAUUUUUAUUAAAAAACAGUUUUCUUUUAUUUUUUAAAAUUAAAAAAUAUAAAAAACUCUAUACCUUUUUGUGAGAGGAAAAAUAAACUACAUCUAAAACAAUGCAUAUAAGUUUUUUCCUAACAAUAAUCUAUUCCUAUUCCAACAAAAAAAACUAUUUAAAUUAAAUCAAAGACGUUUUUUUUAUAAGAGAUACUCCAUCCGUAACACUUUAUAAACAAAAAUACAUUUUUUAAGUUAAUUGUAUAUUUAAUGUAUCUGAUCUAUCAUGAACCCAGAAAGUACAUUUUUUGCUUAUAAGAUACAUUAAAUAUACAAUGAAGAUAGAAAAUGCAUUUUACUUAUAAAGUGUCACGGAUAGAUUACUAUAGAAAUUAUUAAAUGCUAACUUAUGUAUUUUAACUUUUAAAGCAUUAAAUUUCUUGUAUCAUUAAAUGUUGGUUUUCUAUAUUGGGAUAUCUUAACAUGUGCCCUUAGGGCACAUGUUAACAAGACCCAAAAACAAAUUAUCUUUUAAAAAUAUUAGUGGCUUCGAUGCACUUUUGGUCUUCUAUUUUGAAAAAUUUAAACUUUUGAUCCAUCAAUUUUAAAAAUCAAUUUUUUUAUUCCCCUAUUUUAAAAAACCUGAACUUUAGAUUCCCUAUUUUAAAAGUCAACUUUUUGAUCCUCUAUUUUGAAAAACUUGAACUUUUGAACCCCUAUUUUAGAUUUUUCGGAAUUUUAGUCUCUAAAGUCCAAACUCAACUUGGUCAAAUUUUUGCUGAUGUGUCAAGCUCAUCAGUGACGUGGCAGUGUACAUGUUGACAAAACAUUUUCACGUCUUUAAUUUUUUUACAUCAAAUAUUUUAAAAGUAUUAAACAAUAAAGUAAUUAAUAAUAAUUAAAAAAACAGUAAAAUUAACUUUUAUACAUAUAUAUAAUUGAAAAUCCUUACCAAAAAAUAUAUAUAAAUAAAAAUCAGUAAAUUACCCAAAAAAAAUUAACGAUUGAGAACAAAGUCAAUGAACGAUUCCUUAACAUGUGCCCUUAAGACACAUGGGCACAUGUUAACAUUCUCCUUUGUUUUUUUAACUCAUUGAAAAGAUAAGCAACGAAUCAUCAUUAAUAUUAAUAUAUAAGUUAUAACACACCACACCACAACACAACUUGGAAACAAACUUGAUUCAUUCACAUCUUCUUCUGUUCUUAGGGUUUCAUAUUCCUCCUUAUCUGCCCCCUUUACACUCUUCAAUCUUCGUCCCAAUGAAACCAGGAUUCAUCUGAUUCCUCUUCAACCACACUCCUUCUUCCUCUUCACCAAUCCCUUUUCCCUAAUUN
rnacentral:lncRNA from 1 species